UUUUUUCACAUUGGUGCUGCCUCUGCUCACCUUCUGUUCACCACUGGGGGCAGCACCACAUACGGGAGCAGAAAGUGCAGCAUAGAAGGGCAGAAGAAGGAGAAGCCAGCUGUUGUUUGCAUAUUAUACAUAGUAUUGCAUAACAUUCCCGU